rnacentral:rRNA from 1 species
UACGGGGGGAGCAAGCGUUGUUCGGAUUUACUGGGCGUAAAGGGCGCGUAGGCGGUCAGCACAAGUCAGUUGUGAAAUCUCCGGGCUUAACUCGGAAAGGUCAACUGAUACUGUGCGACUAGAGUGCAGAAGGGGCAACUGGAAUUCUCGGUGUAGCGGUGAAAUGCGUAGAUAUCUGAAGGAACAUCAGUGGCGAAAGCGACUUCCUGGACCAAUACUGACGCUCAUGUGCGAAAGCGUGGGGAGCGAACAGG